UGAAUUGAUUUUAUUUUGAGCACCUCUAAUAGUAAUACUUAUUUUAUCAUCAAUAAUAAGUAUAAUAUAUGUGGAGUAUAUCAUAACAAGUAUGUAAUUAACCAAUUAUUGCAAUUUAAAAUACCUCAUACUGUAACAAUUAUUUAACUGCUAAAAUUGUCAGGAAAUGGGAAAACGUUUAUUUUAAGUUUUCCAAUUUUAUUAACUAAAAUGUGCAAUAUAGCGACUGUAUCUACUCUAAACUGCUACACCAAAAGCAUUUUAUUAAACAACCAGUUUUAUUAUACGUAAUAUCGAAAUGGAUCAGAGCUGUUUAUCUUUUUUAGGAAUGUAGUUACUCAUAGAACUCACACCCAAUGUUAUUAAAAAAGUAUAUAUUUUGAAUCGAUAAUCAAUUUUUCAUCGAACCGUUAUUCCCCAUAUGUCACGGCGUGGAUGCGAACCCAAGAUUCUCCCGCAGCAGGUUCCCACACUCUUUCUGGCAGCAUGCCAGUACACGCACCACGCCCACGCUUCGCCGCAGCUGCAGGCUGCCUGUCAUCAGAGCACCCGGCAGCAAUCAAAGGGACAGCAUAAGAUCCAGUCACUCCUUGGAUCCUGCGCCGGAACGUCGUAAACUCUCGUAUGCCCACCUUGUUCCGUGUGCUCGAGCGCUGGAUCUCGAUGUCCUCCCGGAAAUUGGACUGCCUCCUUCGAUCCUCGAUCACUCGCCUAGACUCGGACAUUGUUGCUUGCCACUUGCCCCCGACCUCCUGCCUGUCUCCGGAUCUCCCUUGUGCCUACCCCCUUGGUCGGACGAAGAUUUCAUCCAUCACGCACGUACAACAUCCUCUUGAAUUCUAUACAUGGUUAACUUUACACUUAAUCCUGCAACCAGCACUGAGCAUACACAUCCCACACAAUUAUCAAAGGUUACAAUAAACCUGGCAACCUUAA